UACGGAGGGUGCGAGCGUUGUUCGGAAUCACUGGGCGUAAAGCGCGUGUAGGCGGCCCACUAAGUCUGAUGUGAAAGCCCGGGCUCACCCCCGGAAGUGCAUUGGAAACUGGUGGACUAGAGUCCCGGAGAGGAGAGUGGAAUUCCUGGUGUAGCGGUGAAAUGCGUAGAUAUCAGGAGGAACACCGGUGGCGAAGGCGGCUCACUGGCCCGAUGACUGACGCUGAGGCACGAAAGCGUGGGGAGCAAACGGG
rnacentral:rRNA from 1 species